CGGGAAGUCCGGUGAAAAACCGGCGCGAACCCGUCGCUGUCAACGAGGACGAAAGCCGUUGCGUUAUGCCAUUGGCCAUCCGGCUGAGAAGGCGCGGCAAGUAGAUUGAUCCGUGAGCCAGAACAUCG
rnacentral:ncRNA from 1 species